GUCCCUGUGAAAGAUUCAUCAUCAUCAUCAGCAGCAGCAACAACUCAGUCAGAGCUGGGAAAGUUGGCAAGGCAAGUCAAAUUUGGAGACAUGUAAAAAUUGACAAGAAAGGGACAAGAACUUUCGCGGAUCAUGGAGACAAGGGAAAGAUAUUUACUUGCGUGCACAGUUAUGAUCCAUUUAGUCACGAAAUAUUCUGAUGCUUUUUUUUUUCUAAAGGGGCAAAAAAUUCUGAUGUGAUCAUGAAAAGGGGAGGCUCUGCAUUGAAGUACUCUGAAGAUUCCGGUGGGCGCUUUGGAUUUAAAGGACCAUGAGGAGCAAACGGAGCUGAAGCCAAAAAAAGGUGAGAUUUGAAGUCAACUCGGCGAGGUGCUAGCUUAAAAGCUUACUCCCAAGAAAAUGGAGUGCUUUGCUUGAUUCUUCUUACUUGGGUGGAUCUUGGUGCUGAUGAGCUCGAGCACGACAUUCCGGCCGACCAUG